rnacentral:rRNA from 1 species
UACGUAGGGGGCUAGCGUUGUCCGGAAUUACUGGGCGUAAAGGGCGCGUAGGCGGGCUGCCAAGUCCGGGGUGAAAUCUUUCGGCUCAACCGGAAAAUAGCCCUGGAUACUGGCAGUCUGGAGGGAGGUAGGGGCAUGUGGAACUUCCGGUGGAGCGGUGAAAUGCGUAGAUAUCGGAAGGAACGCCGGUGGCGAAAGCGACGUGCUGGACCUCUUCUGACGCUGAGGCGCGAAAGCCAGGGGAGCAAACGGG